UACGGAGGGUGCAAGCGUUGUUCGGAUUUAUUGGCGUAAAGCGCGUGUAGGCGGUCUCUUAAGUCUGAUGUGAAAGCCCUGGGCUCAACCCAGGAAGUGCAUUGGAUACUGGGGGACUUGAAUACGGGAGAGGGUAGUGGAAUUCCUAGUGUAGGAGUGAAAUCCGUAGAUAUUAGGAGGAACACCGGUGGCGAAGGCGGCUACCUGGACCGAUAUUGACGCUGAGACGCGAAAGCGUGGGGAUCAAACAGG
rnacentral:rRNA from 1 species